rnacentral:misc_RNA from 1 species
AAAAAAAAAGAAAAAAGAAAAAAGGACAAUUGUGAGAAGGCUGCUUAGGAAUGGAAGGAGCGGCAGUGCAAUAAGGCUCAAGCAGAAAUGAAUACUUUGGAGCUUAGUGUUUGGAUAAGCUAUUGAAGGUUGAAACUGAACCAAGGUGAAAAAGUGACUCGGCCCACUGUCAGUGAAAGCAAGUUUUAUCUUGGUUGUUCUUCAAAAUAUUUAUAUGAUGAUGGGUAUGUCAUGAUAAACCAGGCAUUUUUUCCUGUCCUGCUGAUCCGUAUUUGGCGCGUAAUAUUGUAUUGUUAACAUCUACAAGGAGAUUUUGAUAGGAAGGUUGUAUUGUCAAGUUUGAGCCUGCCCCAGAUGUGUAUUUUAAAAUCAAUUGUUAUGUUAUCUGACGAGUAAUGUGUUAAAAAUGGUUUAAUUAUUAAAAGAAAUGAUUUGAUUAGGCCUUUUACGUAAAAGGGCAGUUUUUAUGGGUUUUUAUUUUCUAGUUUAUGAGCAGUGUUAAGAAUGAAGCAUAUUCAUUCUCUACUAUGUUAUUCCUAUUAUAAACUUGGUGUUUAAUCAAUAAUGGUGUUUGUCUAAAUUUUGCUAGGUGUGUUCUCGCUACUUAUGGGUAUGGCUAUAAUUUGUACAUUUUUUUAAUUUGUUUACUACUGGAAUAUAUGACUCUGAUCCUAUGAGAUAACAUUCAUGAAAUUGAAAAGGUUAAAAGCUCUCGAUGCAUCUGGUUCG